rnacentral:rRNA from 1 species
GACGUAGGUGGCGAACGUUAUCCGGAAUUAUUGGGCGUAAAGAGCUCGUAGGCGGUCUGUCGCGUCGGCUGUGAAAACUCGGGGCUCAACUCCGAGCUUGCAGUCGAUACGGGCAGGCUAGAGUUCGGCAGGGGAGACUGGAAUUCCUGGUGUAGCGGUGAAAUGCGCAGAUAUCAGGAGGAACACCGGUGGCGAAGGCGGGUCUCUGGGCCGAUACUGACGCUGAGGAGCGAAAGCGUGGGGAGCGAACAGG